UACGGAGGAUGCAAGCGUUAUCCGGAAUGAUUGGGCGUAAAGCGUCCGCAGGUGGCAAUGUAAGUCUGCUGUUAAAGAGUCUAGCUCAACUAGAUAAAAGCAGUGGAAACUACAUAGCUAGAGUACGUUCGGGGCAGAGGGAAUUCCCGGUGUAGCGGUGAAAUGCGCAGAGAUCGGGAGGAACACCAAUGGCGAAAGCAGGUACCUGGACUAUUACUGACACUCAGCUGCGAAAGCUAGGGGAGCAAACAGG
rnacentral:rRNA from 1 species